rnacentral:tRNA from 1 species
GGGGGUGGGGAGAGUGCAUGCUUAGCAAGCAUGAGGUCCUGGGUUCAAUCCCCAGUACCUCCU